UACGGAGGGGGCUAGCGUUGUUCGGAAUUACUGGGCGUAAAGCGCACGUAGGCGGACAUUUAAGUCAGGGGUGAAAUCCCGGGGCUCAACCCCGGAACUGCCUUUGAUACUGGGUGUCUGGAGGUCGAGAGAGGUGAGUGGAAUUCCGAGUGUAGAGGUGAAAUUCGUAGAUAUCGGGAGGAACACCAGUGGCGAAGGCGGAUCUCUGGGCCUGUUCUGACGCUGAGGCGCGAAAGCUAGGGGAGCGAACAGG
rnacentral:rRNA from 1 species